rnacentral:rRNA from 1 species
UACAUGCAAGUCGAGCGCCCNGCAAGGGGAGCGGCAGACGGGUGAGUAACGCGUGGGAAUCUACCCUUGACUACGGAAUAACGCAGGGAAACUUGUGCUAAUACCGUAUGUGUCCUUCGGGAGAAAGAUUUAUCGGUCAAGGAUGACCCCGCGUUGGAUUAGCUAGUUGGUGGGGUAAAGGCCUACCA